AAAACCAAACAUGUACGAUAUUUUGCAGUAUGAAUGACUGCACAGGUAAACACUCGGCAAAAGACCUAAGAACAAAUGCCCAACAAACGAUGGCCAACAUUUAUGUAGGUGGAGUUGAGAAAUUUCUUCUUUCUAGUAACUUUCGGAAGAGUGAGAAAGAUUAAUCUGAAAUUUAUUUUCCCUAGUCAUUCAUCGUGGCCAGAUCUAACCACGAUAAAACAGAGAAAAGACCAAAAACAUUAUUCCAUGACAGCGACACCAUCUCCAUCUUGAUGUCGCUAUCCAGAAAUAAAGGUCCCUAUGUCGUCAAAUCGGUGAGGAUGCCGAUGUCGUAGUUAUUUUCAGCAUCUUUAACAGAGCCGACAUGGAAAAAACGGAUCUACCCUACCAUCUCACUAUCUCUGUAGAAGAGGAGGAAAAAAUAAAUCUCCAAAAUAAAAAAAUAACAUACAGAGCUCGAUCUAGUAGAAAAACAUAUUAAAAACGAUGAAUCUCCACUCUCUUCGGCCUCC
rnacentral:lncRNA from 1 species